rnacentral:tRNA from 2 species
GGACGAUUAGCUCAGCUGGUAGAGCAUUCGCUUGACGUGCGAAGGGUCGGGGAUUCGAGUUCCUCAUCGUCCACCA